GACGGAAGGUGCAAGCGUUGCUCGGAAUCACUGGGCGUAAAGGGUGCGUAGGCGGCCGUGCAAGUCUGGCGUGAAAGCCUCGGGCUCAACCCGAGAAGUGCCUUAGAAACGGUAAGACUAGAGUCCUGGAGAGGGUCGUGGAAUUCCCGGUGUAGCGGUGAAAUGCGUAGAGAUCGGGAGGAACACCAGAGGCGAAGGCGGCGACCUGGACAGGAACUGACACUAAACUACGAAAGCGUGGGGAGCAAACAGG
rnacentral:rRNA from 1 species